UACGUAGGGGGCAAGCGUUGUUCGGAAUUACUGGGCGUAAAGCGCGCGUAGGCGGCUCUUCAAGUCAGGCGUGAAAGCCCCGGGCUUAACUCGGGAACUGCGCUUGAUACUGUCGAGCUAGAGUGUGGAAGGGGCGAUUGGAAUUCCGUGUGUAGCGGUGAAAUGCGUAGAUAUGCGGAGGAACACCAGGGGCGAAGGCGGCUCGCUGGGACGUCACUGACGCUGAGACGCGAAAGCGUGGGGAGCAAACAGG
rnacentral:rRNA from 1 species